AUAUUUAUUCCUUUGCAUGCUUGAUUUGUAGUAGCUUGAAUCUGCUGUAUCAUCGAACCAUUGUUGAAGAUGCAGCCCACGUAUACAAUCUCUAGAUAUCACUUUCUUUGACAAAUCAUUUUGGCGGUGAGUGUUCAGUAUUAUAAGCAAGUUAUUCAUAUUUUUAGUUGGAAAUGUAAGCAAAUGCUUUGCAUAAUUGUGCCAGUAUCUUGUAGGUAUUGCUUCACAUCUUUAUAAAUCUUCGUGGUGGAGAGCCAUAUGUCAUAGAUGCAAUGAAGAGCAAGGCAAAACAUAUCUCAGGAACCAUUACAUGAUCUCCUGGCAGACAUAUGGUUAUUGAUUUCUGCCCCAUAAUGCACUGUUAUAUUUAGAAUAUAUGUUCAUGUCUGAAUAAUCUUAGAAUCGAUACAAGUGUCCGCUUAGAUUGUGUUUCUUGCUCAAAGAAGACUUGGAGAAUAAUGCAUGGAAUCAAAGGCUGGAGAUAUAGCUCUAGAGCGAGUAACUAAUCAUAGUAGGGGAACACUAAUUCAUCCCAUGUUAGCUUGGAGGACGACACAACACUGGAGGUAGCAAUGAUGGUGAGAACAUUGAUGAUAACAACUGUGCAUCCGGAGGAGGAUCUCACUAGUCCACCUGCACUUGGAAAUAAUCAAUGACCAUCUUAUGGUAUUUUGGAUCUCUCUGGUGGUACUACAUGCUCAUUAGCAAACUUAAUUAGGUGCUUAGUGUUUGCUGCAAUAUGAUGGAUCUGAAUAGUGAAGUGAUGUAUGUAGGUGAUGCUCCUGAUCAUGAACCUAGGUGACUUAGAAGUGUGUGUAUUUUGUUGUCAUUGCUCUGUGCAAUGUGAUGGAUGAUAAUCAGACUGGUGUCAUGUAUGUGUAGAAUUGUUGUUGCUUUCGAGCAAGUGCAUGUACAACUUUUCAUAUGUCAAUUGCUGGAUGUUGAAUCAUGGUUUAAUGGACUCUAAUGUGUUAUGUAAACAUUUA